rnacentral:misc_RNA from 1 species
CCGAGAAACAAAAAACGACACCCACAGAAAGCACAGCCCAAGGGGGGAACUUGUUGAUGACAAUACCAGGGAUCAAACCCACAUUCUCUCCAAUAUCAUUAGCCACUCCAAGAAUUGUUACCUGCUGCUGGUUGAAUCCAAGCACUGAUUUGAGAGCAGUAGAGUAGAGUGGGAAGUUGUAGCCAUUCCCCUGCAGCCACCUGCACCCAUGCAGCGGCUGCCAAUCCCACCCAAGGUGGCCUACUCCCAGGUUUAAGCACUAUAUUUGGCAUCUUAGAUCACAUGAUAUGAUAUUUUUCUUGUUAAAUGGUCUCUGUUUCCACACCCGAAAGGGAACUUUUAGAGUUCUCUUUGGAUAUAGAUCUUCUCGUUCCAACUCCCAACUAGGGCAAGAC